UACAGAGGUCUCGAGCGUUGUUUGGAUUCAUUGGGCGUAAAGGGUGCGUAGGUGGCGCUGUAAGUCGGGUGUGAAAUCCUGAGGCUUAACCUCGGAACUGCAUUCGAUACUGCGGCGCUUGAGGACUGGAGAGGAGACUGGAAUUCAUGGUGUAGCAGUGAAAUGCGUAGAGAUCAUGAGGAAGACCAGUGGCGAAGGCGGGUCUCUGGACAGUUCCUGACACUGAGGCACGAAGGCCAGGGGAGCAAACGGG
rnacentral:rRNA from 1 species